AGCGAACGCUGGCGGCAGGCCUAACACAUGCGAGUCGAACGAACUCUUCGGAGUUAGUGGCGGACGGGUGAGUAACACGUGGGAACGUGCCUUUAGGUUCGGAAUAACUCAGGGAAACUUGUGCUAAUACCGAAUGUGCCCUUCGGGGGAAAGAUUUAUCGCCUUUAGAGCGGCCCGCGUCUGAUUAGCUAGUUGGUGAGGUAAAGGCUCACCAAGGCGACGACCAGUAGCUGGUCUGAGAGGAUGAUCAGCCACAUUGGGACUGAGACACGGCCCAAACUCCUACGGGAGGCAGCAGUGGGGAAUCUUGCGCAAUGGGCGAAAGCCUGACGCAGCCAUGCCGCGUGAAUGAUGAAGGUCUUAGGAUUGUAAAAUUCUUUCACCGGGGACGAUAAUGACGGUACCCGGAGAAGAAGCCCCGGCUAACUUCGUG
rnacentral:rRNA from 1 species